GACGAACGCUGGCGGCGUGCUUAACACAUGCAAGUCGAACGGAAAGGCCCUGCUUUUGUGGGGUGCUCGAGUGGCGAACGGGUGAGUAACACGUGAGUAACCUGCCCUUGACUUUGGGAUAACUUCAGGAAACUGGGGCUAAUACCGGAUAGGAGCUCCUGCUGCAUGGUGGGGGUUGGAAAGUUUCGGCGGUUGUGGAUGGACUCGCGGCUUAUCAGCUUGUUGGUGGGGUAGUGGCUUACCAAGGCUUUGACGGGUAGCCGGCCUGAGAGGGUGACCGGCCACAUUGGGACUGAGAUACGGCGCAGACUCCUACGGGAGGCAGCAGUGGGGAAUAUUGCACAAUGGGCGGAAGCCUGAUGCAGCAACGCCGCGUGCGGGAUGACGGCCUUCGGGUUGUAAACCGCUUUCGCCUGUGACGAAGCGUGAGUGACGGUAAUGGGUAAAGAAGCACCGGCUAACUACGUG
rnacentral:rRNA from 1 species